GAACGAACGCUGGCGGCAUGCCUAAUACAUGCAAGUCGAACGAACUCUUCGGAGUUAGUGGCGCACGGGUGCGUAACGCGUGGGAAUCUGCCCCUUGGUUCGGAAUAACAGUUGGAAACGACUGCUAAUACCGGAUGAUGACGAAAGUCCAAAGAUUUAUCGCCAAGGGAUGAGCCCGCGUAGGAUUAGCUAGUUGGUGAGGUAAAGGCUCACCAAGGCAACGAUCCUUAGCUGGUCUGAGAGGAUGAUCAGCCACACUGGGACUGAGACACGGCCCAGACUCCUACGGGAGGCAGCAGUAGGGAAUAUUGGACAAGUGGGCGAAAGCCUGAUCCAGCAA
rnacentral:rRNA from 1 species